GCUGCGCCUAGCCUGAGGCUGAUCCCCAAGGGCGAACACCGGGUACCUCUUACCCGGCUGGCGUGGCUCCUUAUAAGGGC
rnacentral:sRNA from 12 species